rnacentral:rRNA from 1 species
UACGGAGGGGGCUAGCGUUGUUCGGAAUUACUGGGCGUAAAACGCGCGUAGGCGGACCUGCAAGUCGGGGGUGAAAGCCCGAGGCUCAACCUCGGAACUGCCUUCGAUACUGCGGGUCUCGAGUCCGGGAGAGGUGAGUGGAAUUCCUAGUGUAGAGGUGAAAUUCGUAGAUAUUAGGAAGAACACCAGUGGCGAAGGCGACUCACUGGACACGUAUUGACGCUGAGGUGCGAAAGCGUGGGGAGCAAACAGG